GAUGAACGCUGGCGGCGUGCUUAACACAUGCAAGUCGAACGGAAAGGCCCUGCUUUUGUGGGGUGCUCGAGUGGCGAACGGGUGAGUAACACGUGAGUAACCUGCCCUUGACUUUGGGAUAACUUCAGGAAACUGGGGCUAAUACCGGAUAGGAGCUCCUGCUGCAUGGUGGGGGUUGGAAAGUUUCGGCGGUUGGGGAUGGACUCGCGGCUUAUCAGCUUGUUGGUGGGGUAGUGGCUUACCAAGGCUUUGACGGGUAGCCGGCCUGAGAGGGUGACCGGCCACAUUGGGACUGAGAUACGGCCCAGACUCCUACGGGAGGCAGCAGUGGGGAAUAUUGCACAAUGGGCGGAAGCCUGAUGCAGCAACGCCGCGUGCGGGAUGACGGCCUUCGGGUUGUAAACCGCUUUCGCCUGUGACGAAGCGUGAGUGACGGUAAUGGGUAAAGAAGCACCGGCUAACUACGUA
rnacentral:rRNA from 1 species